AGGAGUGUGGUGAAAUUGGAUAGACACCCCAGAUUUUGAUUCUGGUGUCGCAAGACGUGUGGGUUCGAGUCCCACCACUCCCGCUA
rnacentral:tRNA from 1 species